UGGCUUUAGGUUACUUUACUUGUUGCCACAGACUUGAGAUUUUUUGUGCUAGCUGGAUAGAGGAGUCAUUUAAAUGGUGUGAAAAUGCUCAAUAUAGUGUUUGCAGUGUGAGUAAAUUUGGGCUAAGUUAACUUUACGUCUAAUCAACGCCUAAAUUGUGUUAAAUAGGAAUAUAUUAGGCGUCUGAGUUGUACGAGCAUUUUUUGACAACAUCCAGGCCUGAAAUACUCUCUAAACAACCAUAAUACCGCAACGUAUGACACUGAGAAAAAGUUAUUUCUUAAUGGCACAAAUAAAACAUUGUAAAUGAUCUACCUGAAAGUUAUUUUCAGCUUGAGCUCUGUGGUGGAGGACGGUGACUCUGGGAACUAAUUUAGAAACGGACAACCAACAUGGCGACCAUGGCGUGGCAAACAGUUGUGUGAACGUAAAGCGAGUCAAACAGAGGACGAUAAAUCAAUAAAUAUCUCUCUUUCUUAUCUGAAACAUUGCGGUGGAAGGACAGCUUGUUCCAGCUCGGCCAGCUCGUUAAACGCACCUGUCGAGCCAGCUGGUCGCCUAGGCAACGGCUGAGCCCGUCCCCUGGGCUAGCUUAAUCUGGCUAAUAAUAACAUACUAUCCUCCAUCUCACAGCUGUCGCACAACUCCUUUGACAACACUGAAAGCCAGUGAGCGUGGGAUCGUGUGUGAGGGCUACGCUCUCCAUCUCAGCACAAUCGUAACAGGUAAGAAACACACAGAAGUCACUCAAAAGUGCACAUAUCCAGCCAGUCCAGCUGAUCCCAGGAUUAAGAGGUACAGAGCUGCCGUCCCAGAAAAGUCCUAUAGGAACCCUGAGAUUGAUGAGAAUCUACAGGUCAGACUGGCCUCAUACCUAGGCCUAUCUUAUAGGACGUUUCUGAUUGGCACACAGGCUGUGAGGGACCGAAAAGAACGGAAAUUGUUAACAUCUACAGUAAGGAGGUUGGAUUUAUCAUUUCUGAUGUGCUGAAGCUAAGUUCUUUUGGGAAAAGAUCCCUCCCACAGCCGUGUGGAGCAAACCCAGCAUUCACCAGUUUUAGCAAAAGCGCCUCGUCCGACAUUGAAGUCUCUCUGUGUCAUGUUACUGAGUCCGGCGGCGGGCCACCAUACAUACACUGUCCAUUGGCACGCCCGGGGUCUCUAUGGUAACAAAGGUAGGGUGGGGAGGUUGGGUCAGGUGUGUGGUUCUGGGAAGUUGAGUCCGAGCCAGAGCCACGAACCCAGAUCCAAGGUGAGCGACGGCGGUGGCGGCGGGCGGGGGGUGGG